rnacentral:rRNA from 1 species
GGGCGAGUGAGAAUGUUUUGGGUGAGAGGUAAUAGUAUGUCUAAUGGGUCUUUAUUCUAUGGGAUAGUGAAGUGGUGAAAUAUGUUAAUUUAAGACUGUUGGGUGAGGUUGUGUUAGUAAUUAGAUUUCUUUAAAAUUAGGGUGUAGACCAGGAUUAGAUACCCUGUUAUGCUUUUGGUAAUUUAUGUGCUUGGGGUAGUAAACAGAUAUGGGCUCGAAACUUAAAGAAUUUGGCGGUACCUAAGUCUGGUUAGAGGAACCUGUGCUGUAAACGAUAAACCACGAAUAUCUUACUUUACGUUGAAAUUUCAGUACGUAUACCGCCAUUAUUAGAUAAUCUUUGAAGGGGUUUGUCGGAAUAAAUUGAGAAUUUUGGAUAUUAGGUCAAGGUGCGGCUAAUAGUAAAGUUGACAUGGGUUACAUUGAGAUUAGUUGGUGCGGAUAGGUCUGGUAAUCGCAGAUUUAGUAAGGUGGAUUUAAUAGUAAAUGGGGUAGAUUAUGUCUUUUUGAUAAAAGCUCUUGGGUAUGUACACAUCGCCCGUCGUUCUCGCUUU